CUGCCCUACUUAAGUUGAGGAAAUAAACUACCAGUUUUGGAACGAUAUAUCAGCCUCCCCGUCUCCUAACUUUUCAUCGGCGUUACAAUAUG